rnacentral:rRNA from 1 species
AUUGCCUCAGUAACGGCGAGUGAAGCGGCAACAGCUCAAAUUUGAAAUCUGGCUCCUUCGGGGCCCGAGUUGUAAUUUGCAGAGGAUGCGUCGGGUACGGGUGCCUUCCGAGUUCCCUGGAACGGGACGCCAUAGAGGGUGAGAGCCCCGUCUGGUAGGAUACCCAGCCCGUGUGACGCUCCCUCGACGAGUCGAGUAGUUUGGGAAUGCUGCUCUAACGGGAGGUAUACUCCUUCCAAGGCUAAAUACCGGCUGGAGACCGAUAGCGCACAAGUAGAGUGAUCGAAAGAUGAAAAGCACUUUGAAAAGAGAGUCAAACAGCACGUGAAAUUGUUAAAAGGGAAGCGCUCGCUACCAGACUUGGGUUCGGCGGUUCAACCGGGGCCACGCCCCGGGGCAUUCCGCCGGCCCAGGCCAGCAUCAGCUUUCCGUCGGGGGUAAAGGCGUCGGGAAUGUGGCUCCCCUUCGGGGGAGUGUUAUAGCCCGUCGUGUCAUACCCUUCGGGGGGCUGAGGUACGCGCUUCUGCAAGGAUGCUGGCGUAAUGGUAGCUAGUGACCCGUCUUGAAACACGGACCAAGGAGUCAACCUUAUGUGCGAGUGCCCGGGCGUAAAACCCCAGCGCGGAAUGAAAGUGAACGUAGGUGAGAGCUUCGGCGCAUCACCGACCGAUCCUGAUGUCCUCGGACGGAUUUGAGUGAGAGCAUAUAGGGUUGGACCCGAAAGAAGAUGAACUAUGCGUGUGUAGGGUGAAGCCAGAGGAAACUCUGGUGGAGGCUCGCAGCGGUUCUGACGUGCAAAUCGAUCGUCAAACAUGCGCAUGGGGGCGAAAGACUAAUCGA